CCCGUUCACCUGCAGCCUCACCAGUGUUCCUGUGUUGAAGAAGCACCAGCUGGUCUCUGCUACAAUCCCACUGCAGGAAAAGAUGUGUAGGAAACACAACAAGCUGAUGGAGAUCUACUGUCAGACAGACAAGCAGCUUGUUUGCUUUCUGUGCGUUUUAUAGAUAAGCAUAAGGGCCAUGGAACAAUUCCUGUUUCAAGACCGAAGGCUGACCCAGAGAGUUGUGCCCAGACUGCGCUGAGCUGUGAAAAUAUCUUUGCCGAGCUGAUCUCCAUUCAAAGACGAUGCAGAGAGGUGAAGCAGCUGACCGGAGAUCAGGAGAACACUGCCGUCGCUCAGGCUCAAGAGCUGAAGCUGCAGCUGGAGGAGGAGAUCAGCACGCUGAGGAGAGACUGACCAUCACAUCCAUAUGAUUAGGGUGCCAGACACUAUAGUGUUUUUGACCUUUUUUUUUUUUUUUUUUUUUUAAGAAGAUGUUUUAAAGAUUCUUUGAAAUGCAUGCAUUGUUGAAUAAACAAGUUUCCUGCA